UACAGAGGUCUCAAGCGUUGUUCGGAUUCAUUGGGCGUAAAGGGUGCGUAGGCGGCGCGGUAAGUCGGGUGUGAAAUCUCGGAGCUUAACUCCGAAACUGCAUUCGAUACUGCCGUGCUUGAGGACUGGAGAGGAGACUGGAAUUUACGGUGUAGCAGUGAAAUGCGUAGAGAUCGUAAGGAAGACCAGUGGCGAAGGCGGGUCUCUGGACAGUUCCUGACGCUGAGGCACGAAGGCCAGGGGAGCAAACGGG
rnacentral:rRNA from 1 species